GCGGGUGUGGCGGAAUGGUAGACGCCGGGGACUUAAAAUCCCCUGUCCUCCGGACGUGUGGGUUCGAGUCCCACCACCCGCACCA
rnacentral:tRNA from 1 species